rnacentral:rRNA from 1 species
GAUGAACGCUGGCGGCGUGCCUAAUACAUGCAAGUCUAGCGAACGGACGAGAAGCUUGCUUCUCUGAUGUUAGCGUCGGACGUGUGAGUAACACGUUGAUAACCUACCUAUAAGACUUGGAUAACUUCGGGAAACCGGAGCUAAUACCUGAUGAUAUUUUGAACCGCAUGGUUCAAAAGUGAAAGACGGUCUUGCUGUCACUUAUAUAUGGAUCCUCGCUGCAUUAGCUAGUUGGUAAGGUAACGGCUUACCAAGGCAACGAUGCAUAGCCGACCUGAGAGAGGGAUAGGCCACACUGGAACUAAGACACGGUCCAGACUCCUGCGGGAGGCAGCAGUAGGGAAUCUUCCGCAAUGGGCGAAAGCAUGACGGAGCAACGCCGCGUGAGUGAUGAAGGUAAUCGGAACGUAAAACUCUGUUAUUAGGGAAGAACAUAUGUGAAAGUAACUGGGCAAAUCUUGACGGUACCUAAUCAGAAAACCAAGGCUAACUACGUG